CGGGUGAGUAACACGUGGGCAACCUGCCCUCAGCUUCGGGAUACCACUUGGAAACAGGUGCUAAUACCGGAUAACAACUUUGCAGCGCAUGUUGUGGGGUUCAAAGUUUUUCGGCUGAGGAUGGGCCCGCGGCCUAUCAGCUUGUUGGUGGGGUAAUGGCCCACCAAGGCGACGACGGGUAGCUGGUCUGAGAGGAUGGCCAGCCACAUUGGGACUGAGAGACGGCCCAG
rnacentral:rRNA from 1 species